rnacentral:tRNA from 1 species
GCCAGCGUAGCUCAGUGGUAGAGCAGUGGUUUCGUAAACCACCGGUCGUCGGUUCAAAUCCGACCGCUGGCUCCA